UACGGAGGGCGCAAGCGUUGUUCGGAAUUACUGGGAGUAAAGCGCACGUAGGCGGAUUAGUAAGUCAGGGGUGAAAUCCCGGGGCUCAACCUCGGAACUGCCUUUGAUCCUGCUGAUCUCGAGUCCGGAAGAGGUGAGUGGAAUUCCUAGUGUAGAGGUGAAAUUCGUAGAUAUUAGGAAGAACACCAGUGGCGAAGGCGGCUCACUGGUCCGGUACUGACGCUGAGGUGCGAAAGCGUGGGGAGCAAACAGG
rnacentral:rRNA from 1 species